CGGAGCUUCGGAGAAGAGAGUCUAGACCAGAUUUUCAGCCACUUUUACGCCGGGCUUCAAGCCUGUAUGAUCCAACGAGUAUGAAAUCUGCAGGUUGUGGGGAGGGUCCGUCCCCCUCCACCUUUUCAUUUUUUUUUCCCUAGAAGAACUCCAAGAUUAAAAGCAUCCUCCUUAUUUGUUGCCGAGUUGCUCGUCGACAUGUAAGAAAAGGUGAGUAGAAAAGGAAAGAAGACAAAAAGAAAAAAAAAAGUUGUCUUGCAGAAUUUUGUUUCAAGCGGCAGUUACGAGAAUUCAGUUUAGCCGGGGCGGGAAGGCUGAGAGAAAAAUAACAAUCUGGUCUCCGCCUGCGGAGGGUUUUCUACUAGAGAUCUUGAAAUUGCUGUUUCCGAGUUCCCCGUGCAGCGCCGCUGAGAAGUUCAUAGUGAUUUUUAGUUAUUCUUCCAGUUGUUCGUAUUUUCAAUAUUGUGUACGUAUUGUCGCCAAUAGGGUUAUUGUUGUUUUAAACAGCCUGUGUAGUAAGCGUCACUUCUCUUUUUAAAAAGAAACUCAAUUUCCUUGAUAAACGCUCCUUUUAUAAAGAUCAACUUGGAAACAAAUCUCUACAUUGCCGAGUUUAAACACUGAAGGUUUCUACCUUAUGCUGCCUUUACCACCACUUUUUUUUUCAUAAUGAUACUGUGAAGUGAGUUGGCAUCCCCCACAGCCUUUAUUUUGAAAAACUUCACGAGUAUUAAGAAAUAUAUAAAUUUCAUACUUGGCAAUGCAUUCGGGUAAAAAACAAUUCAGAGCGAUUGAUGAUUUCUGUAUUUUCAAACAGUUGGUAGGCUAAUAAUGGGUUGAUUAUUCCGUGAUAAUCUUGGGUUUUACAAAAGAAAGAAGGCUGAAACUCGAUUUUUCUUGUGGUUUAAUCCUUUGGGCAAGGCAGAAGUCAUUUUAACCCGAACUCCUUUCUUCCUUACUUUCUAAUAUUCUGUAACUUCUUUUGCAUUGUAUUGCAUACAUUAAAGCAAACUACAGGGAUAAUCUGGUUGAUGUAGGAGGGAGAUAGAAAUAGGACAUUUUAAGAUAGAGUCAGAGGGAAAAAACAAAAACAAAAAACCACAAUCAUCUUUAACUCCGAAGACUUCAGUUUAGAAGUGCGAGUGUUAAAAAUGAAGCCCGAAUGGAGGAAAGUCUGCAUGAUUUUAAAAUUCACUGAUUGCCUAAGGAGAGAAUCCCGAAUUUCAUGCGACUAAAGAGAUUUCACUUACCUAGUUGCAUUCAUUUAUGAAACUGUACGUGUAAAAUAGCAUCGCAGGGCAAUAGAUUACACACAAGAUCAAGGUGGAGGUGAUUCAGGGUGUCCGUUCUUGGUCAUUCUGAUGAAUUCAGACUAUUACUUUUAAUCACCAACUUGCUGAUGUUUUAUUAACAGAGCUAAAAAGCAUCUAAGAACUUCCUGAUAUCCCCCUACCUCCUUCAGUGUUGCCGGUCCGAUAGAAGCGAUUCCAAAGCAGUGGGGUACACACACUUUCUGAUUUCUAGCCUGAUAAUUAUGCUGCUGAUGCUCCAGUCUCACUCAGCCUCUGCACCCCCACCCAGGCGGAGAGGCUCAUCUGUUCUUCCACAUUUGGGGUGAAGGGAAAGUAGGUGGGGCAGGCCCUGGAGACAGGCGCGAGAUGGGGGUCGCAGGAGGCGGCGCACACCUCCGUCAACAGUCAGCUCCCUUUGCCCAGGCUGGAAAUGGUUUUAACAGGCGGUAAAAUUUCAUCUUGCGGUGUCAAAUUGGGGUCAUUUUGGGGUUAGAGUUCUCAGUGUCCGAGAGGAGCUGUCCAGCUGCGUGGGGACUCAUUAACUGCAAAAGAUCUGUUUCAGUAAAAACAAUUCAAAGACAAUCAGAAGGCUAAAGACCCUCUACAAAUCGCAUUUUACAAGUGCCCCAGAACAAAUAUGGAUGCUGAAACCUAUUUCUUCAGAAUCCCAAAUCUGCUACUUAGCUCUGGAGUGGGGGUGGGGCACUGCAUAAAAAAGAGGUGAAAGGGAGGGGACCUGAUCUCGUGGGGGGGGGGNNNNNNNNNNNNNNNNNNNGGGGGGUGGUGAAUGGGAGGGGGGAUGGGCCUCUCAAAUUUAAGAGUCUAGUCUGUUUUUAAUCACUUCUUUCUUAUUGAAGCAUCCCUAAGACUUCUGAGAACUCCUUCUUUUCUAUUUUUCCUCUUCUUUUUUGACUCAACAUGGAAUGCUAUUAUAGGUAACAUUUAAGAUUUAAAAAGAAUAUUUGAAUCCCAAUACAGUUACUCAAUUUAAAGGGCACUAGCUUUAUGGAGAGUACUUAAUUUGAAAUGAGCAUUUAUGAACCUAGACUCUAUUUUAGGUGAAUUGGCCCACCUUCCUUAGGAAGUCUGUGCUCCUGUUUGAUCUUUUUUUUUUUUUUCUUCCAGAAAGUUAUAGGUCCUCAGCACAGAUAACUUCAAAUUCCUCAGAACUGUGAGGUCCGAAGUGUUAAUCUGUGUAUUAAAAUCACUGGGUUUAAAUCCUUUUUGUCUUCCUACAAUAGUUAGAAUAAUUGACGGCUUGCUAGAGGAGCAAAUAAAUCCAACCUUAAUCUUAUUUGUAACUUUAGUUAAUGUUUUGAAUUGGGAGUAUUUUGGGUUAAGCAGGUGUGUGUGUGUGUGUGUGUGUGUGUGUGUGUGUGUGUGUGUAGGUUCUGUUUUUCUGUUUGCUGGUAUGGAAAAAAGAUAUCAUUCCUUUGAUUUUAAAAAUGUUUCAGUUAGAAGGAAAGUGCAGUUUUAAAGGAGAAGCUAGAUGUGUGCGAUGCUAGAGUUUUUAGAAUAAAACAAAAUCGAUACUUUGAAGUAUUAUUUGAAAGAAGUUUUCUUUCCUUCAUUACUGACCUGAGCAAGUAAAGAGGAUCAUAGUAUUUCAUUCUUUGUCACUCUCUCUUUGGACUUCACCUCUGUCACUAGGUCUUCUCUUUCCAUCUGUUUCACUGUUCUUUGAGGUCUGAACGCGACAGUGAAUUUUUGUAGUCUAAUUCUUUCUCCAAGCUUACCAAAGUCUUUAUAAAUUGUUAUUCAGGAUGUUUGAUUGCAGCCCUGCAGAGGCAGCCUUGAGCCCAGCAUCACUGGGACAAAGGCAGAGGGACUCUCUUCUGCUCCAGACCUGCUGGCUGACAGUUGGAAUUUUUGAUAUAUAUUUUAUUUGGCGGUUCCAAUAAUGUGUUUGCUUCUCCCUCCCCCAUUCCCUUGCAGCCAUCUAUUACGUUAAGAAUAUCUCUUCUCUAUAAACCUCAGCUCAUCCUUGUGAACUGUUCUUGACCUUCCCAGCCAUGUGCCAGCAUCUCUGGAAGUUGGACUAGGAAGAAUUACACUUCCUUCCUUACCUGUUAACUUUGCUCACUCUCUUCCUAGUUGGGAUCAAGAGAUAGAAGGGGACCUUUUUUGUUUGUUUUUUGGUCUUUUCCUCACUUCGGCUUUCUACCAUGUAUUCCCCCACCCCCAUUAAUAACAAGAAAGUACUCCAUAAUUUAUUGUCUUAACUAAGAUAUGGUAGAAUCAUUGUGCUUUCUUUCCUUUUACUCUAUCUUAUGUCUUAUUUCUCCCAAUUUUAGCUGCUUCACCAUCUCGCAGAAGUAAAGUAUUUCAAUAAAUAGCCCUCUAGCGCUAUCUGGCGGGGCUCCAAACACGACGUGCGCUCGCUCGCUCUCGCAGUCUCUGGCUCCUUCCCGCGCUCUCUUCCUUCCUCCCUUCUUCUUUCUCUUUCUCUAGUUUCUUUGGCUUACUAUCUUGAUCCUUUUCCUCUUCUUUCCUCCUGCUGCCCUUCUUCUAGCUCCAACCCCUACUCCCAGCGCAGAUGGCUUGGAAAGAUCCGGUCAGAGGCUGAUACCCUCAGAACCAGGUGAUGCUCCGGCAAAGGAGCUCUUACAGGGCUCCCACCUUCACCCAGUGUGGGUCACCCGCCACCUUUGUCUUUGAUUAGCAUGCGGGUGUUGCUGAAAAUGUUGCUUGUGUUCCAUCGUCUCAGCUGGUAGUGGUUUGGAGGGGAUUAAAACUGCAUUUGUGAAGUUUGGAGGAAAGAAAUCAGACACUGGAAUCCUGACUAGUGGAGACCAGCUAAGUUUUAGGUCGGGAGGCCUAGGCUCAGUGUGAGUUUAAAGAAAGGGUCCCAGAACUUCUCAGGGAAGGGGUUGGGGAGCAGCAGCUCUCGCCUGGACUUCGGAAGAACACUGGGCACUCAUUCUUCACCCCCAUCCCCAACACUUUCUCCUGCCUUCGGGAUGCCUAUAUCAUAUAAUGCGCUGCUCAAGUUUGUAUCCUAGGCCUGUCCAAGAUUUCUUUUUCAAAAUGAGCUAGCUUUUCCAGCCCCCACCCCAUGACCACACCAAAUUUAAAGAGCAGUGGGGAAGAAAAGUGGGAUGGAGAGAGAGCUCACUGGCGAGCCCACCGGGCAGAGAAGAGAAAGCCAACACAGAAACUGCAGGAACUCACGCUUGAGGAUGCAGUACUCACCAACGUCCUCCCGCCUUUCUCGAAGAGAUUUGUCUUAUUUCUUAUUGUGGUUUUUGUUAUUUUUUUUUAAACAGUAGCCUAUAAACCCUCAGCAGGGUGUGGAAAGCAAUCAGAGGGGAUAGGGGAGAAAGGAGAGAUUCAACUUCAGCUGGAUGCUUUAGAUACUCUCCUUAAAAUUCUUAUUCUCCACCCCCCACCCCCAGACACACACCACAUUCUAAGCCUUAGAAAAAUCUUCAGUUCUCCCUUUGAGCAAAUCUCCCAUGAAACUGAGGAAAGGAUAUUGGGCCUGGGGAAGAUUUAGACUCACUCAACUUUCUUGCAUUUUCUGAAAUUUAGUUUUGACCUUGCAAAGUAAAAGUGAAAACCAUAUUCCACCCAGCGGCUACUUGAAAUGAGGGGACCUCAGCCUGCAGUGUAUGUGAUCACCAAAGACCCCUUCCUAAUUCUGAAAUUCUGCCCCCUCCCCAUAAUCUCAAAAAAUGGAAUAGCAAGUAGGGUGUGUGUGUGACACAAUCGUAGGUUUUGUUUCUCAAGAUUUGCCUCCCCUCCAAGCCCCCCAACACCACAGGAAGAAACUGGUGUAAUUAAUUGAGGACUGUUAUGAGGUCAUCAUUAGCUAAGGUGCAAAUAAUUGCAGCCCAUUUUUACUUAAAAUUGACCAGCCCCAGAGUGAUAGAUCGAUUUGGAGUAUAAAAAUGAUGUAUCAAAACAUCAAUGUCGAUUAUUUGAAAUAUUGUAGUCGAAUUUUUGUAUUGCUUCAUCGGUUAAGUGUCUGAAAGUGCAGUGUUCAAACAUAUAUUUAUGUUGUCAAUACUGUCAGAACUGUCACUUCCACUAUCCUGGAUUUGUACUACAUUUCGAAUUUACUCAUUUACAUAAAAUGCCCACCCUAGGAUUCUCCCACCCCCAUUCCAUCUCUCUCUUUCCUCCCAUCUCUGGAAAAUCCGUGUCAGUUUCUUCAAAGGACUCAGUAAUCUUUGCCUAAGCUAAAGUGUGCACUGCCUCUUUUACUCAAUUUUCCACAUCGGAUUACAUGUCUUUUUCACCAUUUCUAACUUUCAAAGGGAGCCUUCCUCUUUCUUCCCAAUUCUGCCUACUCCAGCCUUUUCUCCGAAAUAGUAUGUAGCAUUUGGAAAGCUUCUGGUUUAAAUAUCCACAUCUCAGCUCCAAAUAAACCAGUUAGGUAGAAAAAUGGAAAAACCGGACUUCAACGUACCUCCACAGCGCACUCGUGUAAACCGGGCUGUUGCCGGGCACACGUCCUCCCACGUGUCAGAGUCCAUCAUCAAAUUACCUGGAAGACUGAAACCUUCCAGGGAAAAUGAACUUGAAAACAUAAAUACGUUUUCUUUUACUUAGAAGCUGUGAUAGGAGAAAAAGAAAUAAUACAUAUAAAUGAUCGGCACGCUUUACCUUUAAAAGCUUUUGAACUCAAUCAAAAGACACAAGUUGGAAGCAGAAUUGACAGUUUUAAUUCUACCCAUUUUCACCUGGCACGUCAGAUCAGAGGCAAUCAUUUAUUUUAGGGGGGGCGGGUGUAUGGGAAAGCCUGAUGGAAAGCUCGAAUCCACUGAAGUCUCUAUCCUAAAAAUCACAGAGAAAUUAAGACACUUACUGAAACGCAAACAUUCCAUUGCUCCACACUUAGUCUAAACUAAUUGAAAUUUAUAAAUUCACAUUCUGCCUAAUUUUAUGCUUUUUUAUUUUCUAGGAUUCCCUCCAAGUCUGACAGGAAAGACAGGGCCACUUCUGGAUGAGCUGUAAGGAUGCGUUUUCACUUCCACAACAUUGAAGCACUUUUUAUAAACCUUGUAUUGUACUUAAAUAAAUCUAUCUGGACAUUAAGAGAAGUGACUCAUACAACGAUAGCUUGGCUUUGUGCUGUCAAUCCUAGCAUUAAAAAAAAAAAAAAAUCCAGAAUCCUCCUGAGAAGCUUUUCCAUAUCCACUCAUUUCUCAAAACAAACAAACAAACAAACAAACAAGUAAAAACAAGAAAAACUAGAAAAGCAAAAGAAAGUUUACUGUAUGCAUCUGGGUGUCUUCUUGCGCAUUUAUAAAUGUCUCCCAGCCCCGCUUGCUGUGUUGCCUCCCUCCUGCCACACACUCCAAGGCAGAGGCAUCGAGGGAUCGCCCCCAGAGAGUUGUGUUUACUUAGGUUUUUUUAAUCUCUCCACCAUGUAUGACAAGUGUUACUUCAAGAAAUUCAUCAGCCUUCUACAGAUACUUCCAGGUUUUGCUGUAAUGAUCUGCAGAAGAGAACUGCCAUCACUUUCUCACAUCCCAAGGUGUUGCAGGAACUCAGAGAAAGGGGAGAGUGGCUGAAACGCUUAAUUACAGUGGGGGAGGGAGGAGCGCAAGGCGGGGACGGAGGGAGGAGGGAAAGGAGGAAGAUCCUUUACCUAGCCUGUACCUGGAGAGAGCUCUGAAUCCUCUCAGUGGAAAUUUGGGAAAGGUAUUGUUGCCUUUUUUUUUUUUUUAAUGCCUUUGGGGAGAAGUGAUACCCUUGUGUAACAAUUAG
rnacentral:lncRNA from 1 species